rnacentral:lncRNA from 1 species
GUAAUAAAAGUAACCUAAUAUUAUCAUAAGCCACUGUAAUUAUGUAUGGUAUGUAAACAGUGCUUUUAAAAAUCAUACGUGGCUAUUAUUUGAGCAUGCUCAUUUCAUGCAAGACAAACAGGUGAUGUGCUGAGGUGAACCAUGGCAGAGAAGCCAGAAACUCGAGUGCUAGCCAUAGCUAUGGCAUUGAUUCAUUCUUUGCCUAUGGCAAGUACUAAAUCCAACACUUUCAACAAUGACACCUGGUCUUUGAUCCAUUUUACAGACAUAAUCUUUUUAAAGCUGCUGACCUACAUCUUCUAGUAAUGUGAAUAAUUAUGAACAUAGGCAUUGUCAGUUUAGGCCAAAGGGGGGCUCAGCAUGUUUCAGGCUUUUUCCCUUGCUACUCAGGAAAACUGAUACAUAAGAUGUUCACGCUGAACUGAAACAACUGAGAUAUAAGCAACCAAGUUGGCCAUCUACUACCCAUCAGGCAGUUUUGUUUCAGGUUGUGCAUAGGCCAUAUUUAUUGUAGCCCUUUAGAUAAAACAGACAAAAAAAUCCACAAGUAUCAGGAAGAAUUAAAAAGCAGAGGAGACCAAAAUGGAUAAGCAAAAAAUACCUCUAUCAUUGCAGCUGACUUUGCAGACUACUAUGCUUAACACAAGAUUUCCCAUAGUAUUUUGAUGAACCCAAGUGUUUACACAACCUGUGCUGUAACAAGUAAAUUGGAAAUAUAUUUAUUAAAAUGAAAAAUAAUUACCUAGUGAAGACAGAAUUACUGUAUUUAGGUAGCUAUUAGUCCAAGGCUAUGAAUCAGAAUUCCCACAAUAAAACCAGGUAAUCAAGACAUGCAUCAGCCUUUAGAAGGGGACAGUCACAACCGAGUCACUGAGCACAUUCUACUUUGACAUGUAUUAGAAGAGAAACAAGGCCCAUUGCAAAUUCUAGCAUUAAUCAGCUGCAAGAAAAAACUCAGCCUGAUUCUCAAAUUCACCAACUAGAGGAAAAAGUGACAAGAGGCAGGAUGAAAGUAAAACUGCGGUUCCAGGUUUUGGUCCACUGAACACUUUACCAUUAAGAGUUCAUUCCACUCUCAGCCUGUUACCAGCUACCUUCAAGAGUUCCUGACUUUUGAGAAACCCAUUCCUGGAUGCCCAGCCCUACCCAGGCAUUUUAGGGUGAGUCUAUGUGUCUAUCCUAGGAUGUUGUUUCGAAAAUGAGACGCAAUGUCAAUUUGAUUAUUGUCAUCAGUGGUACAUAAUGCACGGUGUGCAUCCUUGUAUCCUGCCAUGGGUGCAUCACUUGAGCCUAUUAUUACUACUAUUACUAUUCUUCCUACUGCUAUAUAGCUUAAUAGAAACAUAAAUUGUUAUGGAUCUGCCCAGCUGAGUAACCACUUUCUGAAAGACACAUAGAGAGAGCUAAUGUACAACUGUUAUCUCAAAAUUAAGUCAUUUUAGUCAAAGAUAUGUAAGCCAGCUAGAUGAAAAGGUAGCACAACUCUAAUCGGCUUCUUACAGAAAACAAUCUCAUCUUUCCUAGAGGGAUAAACAAACAUUUCUACUUGUAAUACAUAAAGAGAACUAACCAAAAAUGUAGUGCACUAGGACAAAUACUGUAGUUUAUAAACAAAGCCAGUACCCUAAGCUUUCAGGGAAAACAAAAAAUAAAAACCUGAUAUAAAGUAUUUUAAAAAACAGAGUGAAAGCCCAAAGAAUGAAACAGUCAGCAGAAAACAGAGCCACCAAUGUACUUGCAUGAACAGAAAAAUACAAUUGGAAAAUAAAAUAAGCCGGCUGUCUGCCAGCAACCUUGAUCUUAAUCCCACUAAAAUUAACCACAAAUUCCUAUCAACUUCAGUGUAACAGGAUUGGACAUUUGAAUUAGAAAGCUAUGGGCUUUGCAAGGUAAGUACAAAAUACAGCUUCUAAAGUUUGUUCUAGCAACAUUAACACAAUCAGUUAAACACAGAAUUAGCACACUUACACAACUGCCAGGUGUUUAUAAUAUAAACCUGAAAAGUUACUUUUCAUAAACUUAACACCCAUUGCUCAGAAAACACCAGAAUUCUGGUACUCAUGUCUCCAUCACCCCUAGCAAAGCACAGGUGUCUUUAAAGAAGUAACAAUGUCAAACUUUCUAAAACAGACAGGCAAAAACAUAUAGUGAUAUUAGUGCAUAGUGUGUAGUGUCUGCACAUGUAGAAUCUUAGUGGAUGAUUAUGAAGCAAAAUAGCACAGUACUGUAAAUGUCAUACUGCCUGUUUGCACUUGCAAGCCCAUGUGUACCAUGAUGGGCAAUGUAAACCUAAAUCCAGACUUACAGAAUACACAAAUAAGCCUACCUGUUCAUAAAAUCUCACACAUAAUUAAACCUGUGUAAGAUACAGUGCAGACAUGCAGGAUGAUAGCAAUACUCUCUAUAGUCAUGAUCGUACUGUGACUUCCUAUUUUAAUGUUGUACAUUGGAGAAGUUAACAAUCUUCGUAUACAGUGCUGAAUUAAAACAAACAGAAAAGAGACAGACUGUAUCUACUAAUAUUCACCUUUCUAAGAAUAUUCUAUUCCCAGCACUAGAAUGAGAACAUCACAAAUACUAUAUCUUAACAAUGCAAAGUACUCCUUCAGCAGUUUAAGCUAGCCAUCUAGCAUCUUGAACCUGUUUUCACCUCUGAAACUGAUAUACCUAUCCAUAUAUCACAGUUUAAGUAGAGAAUGUUUAAUACAUUCUAUUUCUUUGAAAAUUAUUUGCAAAGAUAUAAAUUUAUUAGCUUACAAAACAUAAAAAAAAAAUACAUUAAAUGUUUGAAAUCAGACAGAAACAGAUUAUUCUUCUGCCAUAUUUUCUGUUUGGAAACACCUGAAAUACCUGUGUUAAUUCCUCCCUGUUCUUUCAAGAGGACCUGCUGCACAGACACUGUAAGCUAUCAUACCUUAACCAAUGAUGAAAGUCAAUGAAUCUAUAGUUUAUGCAUCUUCUUCAUAACGUUAGUCCAAUGAGUUAAUCUGGUAUUAGCAUGGUUAAAUGUGGCAACAAUUUUGAGAAGCAAGUGCAAAACCCUGUUUCAGCUCAAGCUGCUAAAGUAAACCUCUAUCUUGUUGUAGUGAAGAUGUUUUUUCACUAGGUCACUAGUCUUGUAGAUAUGGAUUUCUCAUUGAAGACAUGAGCAGCAAAUGACACAAAAAGGGAAAUGGCUACAAUCUGCAAUAGUUUACGAUUUAUCUUUCAAAAUACAGAAAUGCCUGUAUACUUUUCUUCCUAAAUAAGAAUUCAUCCUUUUAAAAGUUAAUAUGUAAGCAUAAUAAUUUCUCCCUCUCUCUUCUUUCAGUAAAUGUCCCACCCACACAAGCAGCAACAGUUUCCCUUUCAUUAUCCUUGAAGCAUUUUUUUCUCUUGUGUCAAAAUUGCCCAUUUUUUCUAGCCAAUAUCUAACAGUUUUCAACCUGGACAUGCUGUCCUAAUCUUUUUUAGGGUACAUCCCAGUCAGUCCUCUGCACCAGGAGACAUUUCUUAUUUUUUCAAGAAGCAUUUUAAUAAUGUACAUAAAUAUAGGUUUAUAUAAAACAGUAGUAUUCAAGCACAUAAAGCCAGCAGAAUCCUUUCUUCUCAUCCUCUUCACUUGGCUUACAUUAUUUUCUUUGACUUGGAUUGUUACAUUUUUCUCAUUGCACUUUAUCUGCUUCUUUCUUUUUACAGUUAGAAGUUGGCUGGUAGAACAGAUUCUUCUUUCAGCUUCUCAGAAAAGACAGCAUGCCUCAACUGCGUGUAGUACAACGUUUGCUGACAGACCCUUUAAAAAAAAAUACACUUCAGCUGUUUUAUUAAAUGAGUCAUACAAAUGCUGGGGGAUAAUAUAUAGUAACACAAACUGAAUGCUCAAGUGAGAAAGGAGCAAAUAGUACCUACGAUGCAAUUCUAUGUCCAGAAAUAAAGACGGCAUAAAAGCAAAA